GGCUGAGUGCUGUGUUGUACACCCGUGAGGUGACCAUCUCCCCCACUGAGGCUGUGCGGGUGCUGGGUGAGGCGGCUGCUGGGGACGCUGGGGCGCUGCUCACAGCGGGGCCCGUGGUGGCGCUCCUCGUCGACGCGCCCUACCACCACAUCCAGCAGUCCGUCUCUGCAGUCAGGAGGGACCUUUACUUCUUGUCCCCUAACAACGGCAACGGCUACAACAUUGCCAACAAGUUCUUCUCGUUUGCCUCGCUGUCCAUGUCCGUUUAGAUCUUCUUAGUCCACUCGUCUAGAGGACAUUCCUUAUCGACUUCACCGUUUGUUAUUGAGUUUUAUUCAGCAUCCGAGUUUUAUGGCACAAAAUUAUGCGUUCAGUAAUAUAUGCUAUGGUGGUUUUCUAGUAUAUGAGAAAGUAUUUCUUCUUCAUUUCUGUUAAUUGAUUAGACACUGAAGUUUGUCAGAAGUUUAAUAUUGUUCCAUUAAAAGUCAAUGAAUUCCUAAUGCUGCCAUUCUUCUACGUAGCAAAAUGUUUCAUCCGUCCACAUCUAAUUAUGCGAUCUGUGAUAGAUUUAGCCCUAAUUGUUAAUGCAAGUUUAGUGUCAAUUGUGCAUCCCGUUGCGGUGAUGAAUUUCUUGAUAACCUGGGAUUAUUUUGCCUUGCUUCUCCUAUGGUGUUGACCAAGCAGCAAAGGAACGCUUAAUACCUUAGAGCAAUAAAUGGUUACAAUGUUUCGAUCAAAGAUAUAAAUAAGUUGUCACUGGCUAUUCAUUUCGUUGUUUUAAGCAUUCAAGUCUGAGCAUUUAUAACUCAAAUUAUGUAUUGUACGACAAGCUAAAGUUAAUAAAUGAAGUACAACUUAGAUUCACCGAAA